rnacentral:rRNA from 1 species
GAUGAACGCUGGCGGCGUGCUUAACACAUGCAAGUCGAACGGUGAAGCAGGAGCUUGCUUUUGUGGAUCAGUGGCGAACGGGUGAGUAACACGUGAGCAACCUGCCCCUGACUCUGGGAUAAGCGCUGGAAACGGCGUCUAAUACUGGAUAUGUGAUGUGACCGCAUGGUCUGCAUCUGGAAAGAAUUUCGGUUGGGGAUGGGCUCGCGGCCUAUCAGCUUGUUGGUGAGGUAAUGGCUCACCAAGGCGUCGACGGGUAGCCGGCCUGAGAGGGUGACCGGCCUCACUGGGACUGAGACACGGCCCAGACUCCUACGGGAGGCAGCAGUGGGGAAUAUUGCACAAUGGGCGGAAGCCUGAUGCAGCAACGCCGCGUGAGGGAUGACGGCCUUCGGGUUGUAAACCUCUUUUAGCAGGGAAGAAGCGAAAGUGACGGUACCUGCAGAAAAAGCACCGGCUAACUACGUGCCAGCCGCCGCGGUAA